UACGUAGGUGGCAAGCGUUGUCCGGAAUUAUUGGGCGUAAAGCGCUCGCAGGCGGUGUUUUGAGUCUGGUGUGAAAGCCCACGGCUCAACCGGGGAGGGUCAUUGGAAACUGGGAGACUUGAGUGCAGAAGAGGAGAGUGGAAUUCCACGUGUAGCGGUGAAAUGCGUAGAGAUGUGGAGGAACACCAGUGGCGAAGGCGACUCUCUGGUCUGUAACUGACGCUGAGGAGCGAAAGCUUGGGGAGCGAACAGG
rnacentral:misc_RNA from 1 species